CCUACGGGAGGCAGCAGUGGGGAAUAUUGCACAAUGGGGGAAACCCUGAUGCAGCAACGCCGCGUGGGUGAUGAAGUUUUUCGGUUUGUAAAGCUCUAUUAUCAGAGAAGAUAAUGACGGUACCUAACGAAUAAGCACCGGCUAACUCCGUGCCAGCAGCCGCGGUAAUACGGAGGGUGCAAGCGUUAUCCGGAUUCACUGGGCGUAAAGAGCGCGUAGGCGGGAUAGCAAGUCAGAUGUGAAAUCCUAUGGCUUAACCAUAGAACUGCUUUUGAAACUGUUCUUCUGGAGUGUGGGAGAGGUAGGUGGAAUUCUUGGUGUAGGGGUGAAAUCCGUAGAUAUCAGGAGGAAUACUAGUGGCGAAGGCGGCUUACUAGAACGUAACUGACGCUGAGGCGCGAAAGCGUGGGGAGCAAACAGGAUUAGAUACCCGGGUAGUC
rnacentral:rRNA from 1 species